CCUACGGGGAGCAGCAGUGAGGAAUAUUGGUCAAUGGACGCAAGUCUGAACCAGCCAUGCCGCGUGCAGGAUGACGGCUCUAUGAGUUGUAAACUGCUUUUGUACGAGGGUAAACCCCGAUACGUGUAUCGGGUUGAAAGUAUCGUACGAAUAAGGAUCGGCUAACUCCGUGCCAGCAGCCGCGGUAAUACGGAGGAUCCGAGCGUUAUCCGGAUUUAUUGGGUUUAAAGGGUGCGUAGGCGGUUUGAUAAGUUAGAGGUGAAAUGUCGGGGCUCAACCCCGAAACUGCCUCUAAUACUGUUUGACUAGAGAAUAGUUGCGGUAGGCGGAAUGUAUGGUGUAGCUGUGAAAUGCUUAGAGAUCAUACAGAACACCGAUUGCGAAGGCAGCUUACCAAACUAUAUCUGACGUUGAGGCACGAAAGCGUGGGUAGCAAACAGGAUUAGAUACCCUGGUAGUC
rnacentral:rRNA from 1 species